rfam:Blumeria graminis f. sp. tritici 96224 unplaced genomic scaffold Scaffold-364, whole genome shotgun sequence.
CCUCAUGAUGAAUUUCCAGAUAGGGACAUCUUAUGUUAACUACACUGAUGAGAACUGGACGAAAAUUUUAGUAGAUGCUUCGUAAAAUCUGAAG